CCCCAUUUUCGCCUGGAAGGUCACCUCUCCAGUGUUUGAGUGUCUGAAGCCGUUGGCUGCUCCUGAACCGUUUGGCUCUUUCUCCACUAGCAAACAGCCCCACAAUGUACCUCAAUCGCUCUUAAAUCUAUUUUUAAACGGUUUUAUUCCGCUUCACGCCGAUGCGAACGGGACCGGACUCUUGUUUGGGAAUUUAGCUGACGAUCUGCCGCCUCAAAGCGGCUUUAUAACGCUUUGUUUGAGCACUAUUUGACAAAAUAAUCGAGGUGGAGGAAAUUCCACACAAGCAGUGAAAGGCAGCCCUCGCGCUCAUCCGGGUAUUAAAACUGUAGAGACUCCUCCACUGCUAAGGGUUCACAUUGGAGCAAGACCUGAUCACAUGGUGCUGAGACACUUGGGUUGGAUCCUUAAAAAGCGUUUGCCUGGUGAAAAUAAAGCUGAUAGUGUGGCUAGUGUCCUGUGUGCUGACCUCAUGGUGUAAGCAGGUGUGAAGAUGAGUAUUAGCAGCGAUGAGGUCAAUUUCCUGGUGUAUAGAUACCUGCAGGAGUCAGGUAGGUGCUGCUUAAUUCAAGACCGCCCAAAUCAACACUCCAGAACUAUAACU